CCAUUUUCUCCCUCUCCCAAAUCUGUACAAGUGCUUGGUGUUCCCGGAGGGGUUCUUUGACCUUCAGAUCCGACCGCUCCUGCACUACCAGACAGAGAGAAGGAUGGCCGGUGCAUCUGGUCAAGAGGUUUGUGGAGUUUGUUUCAACCAUUGCAACUAUGAGAGCAAGGGAAGUGGUUUCAGCAUGUUUGCAUGGGAGGAGUCCAACAAUGCAGGGUUUUUUGUGUGUGUUCAAAUCAGGUUGUGCCUUGCAAUGAAAGGGCCCGUUUCAACAAUGUGACAGGAGAUAGGGUGAUGUUUGUGGCAAACCAACGGACAUACACUGUAAAGUGUUACAAGGGUCGUACAAAGAGCGCUAUGUAUGGGAGAGGUUGGAGGAAGUUCUAUGAUGACAACAAGCUGGGGAAGGGUCAGAUGGUGGUGUUCUUCCUGGAUGAACCUUCGCCUAGGGCAGCUAUUUGUGUGAUCCAGGUGGGCAACGGCUCCGAAGAUGAACAGCCUAUGGAAGAGGGUGAUCCCAUUGAAGAUUCAUAUUCAGAUGAUGAGGAUGGAGAAGCUUCAAGCGAUGGUGGUGAAGGCAUUGUUCGCACUAUGGUGCUUCUGCUUAAUGAGACAGAGGGUUUUCAGCUACAAGGGCCGCUGCCUCUCAGUGAUGAUUUCAUCGGGUUUCCUUUCUUUCACCGCCUCACAAGGACAGACAUUCGUUUGGGCAUGAUGGUAUGUAUCUCUUUUUUCCUUUUUUCUCUUUUAGUUCUUUUGUAUGGGUAUGCUACAAGUAUAUAUAUCUGAACACAUAAUGCAAAUCUGAUUCCUAGGAAAGAGAAGGGGCGGGGUAAUAUGAUUUCUGAGCUGGAAAUUGCAUAAUU